GCAGCUAGGGAACUAGGCUGUAUACCCGCGAGACCGAAUUAACGUUUAAGCGACAUGGAUGUCGUCGGCCGCGGGGGAAGGCCACGGAAGUGGCUUUUUGUUUU
rnacentral:sRNA from 1 species